rnacentral:rRNA from 1 species
AGUGAACGCUGGCGGCGUGCCUAAUACAUGCAAGUCGAACGGAGUGGCGCACGGGUGAGUAAUGUAUAGCUAAUCUGCCCUACACUAGAGGACAACAGUUGGAAACGACUGCUAAUACUCUAUAGUGUAGGAUGAGGCUAUAUUGUAUCAGCUAGUUGGUGAGGUAAUGGCUCACCAAGGCUAUGACGCAUAACUGGUCUGAGAGGAUGAUCAGUAAAACUGGAACGGAGACACGGUUCAGGAUCCUACGGGAGGGAGCAGUAGGGAAUAUGGCUAAAUGGGGGAAACCCUGAAGCAGCAACGGCGCGUGGAGGAUGACAAUUUGCGGAGAGUAAACUCCUUUUGUUAGGGAAGCGGUACCUAACGAAUAAGCACCGGCUAACUCCGUGCCAGCAGCCGCGGUAAUUC